rnacentral:rRNA from 1 species
AUUGAACGCUGGCGGCAGGCCUAACACAUGCAAGUCGAGCGAGCGGCGGACGGGUGAGUAAUGUAUGGGGACUGCCCGAUAGAGGGGGAUAACUACUGGAAACGGUGGCUAAUACCGCAUACUAUCGGAUAACCCAUAUGGGAUUAGCUAGUAGGUGGGGUAAAGGCUCACCUAGGCGACGAUCUCUAGCUGGUCUGAGAGGAUGAUCUGCGACAGUGGGACGGCGAAACCGCCCAGGCUCCGACGGGGGCAGAAGUUGGGGAUAUUGCACAAUGGGCGAAAGACCGAUGCAGCGACGCCGCGUGGGGGAUGAAGGCUUUAGGGUUGUUAACCUCUUUCGGUAUGGAACGGGUAGGUGGAGAAGAAGCGCCGGCUAACUACGUGCCAGCAGCCGCGGUAAUAC